rnacentral:lncRNA from 1 species
GAAGUCUCUCUCCUCCUUGAUCAUCUUUGCCUCCAACUUCCGUUCGAGCGUCCUCACCCUCAGUAGAGGAGAAACUGAGGCCCCUCUUCAGGGCAAUUCUACAUCAAGCCAUUAUAUGACUAACUGCCUUGUCUGAGGCAUUGAGCCCAGGCCACCCAGGAGGUAGAUGACUGCAGCUCCUCUCCACAAUACACCUCAGCUGUGUUGGGUGCCACAAUGCCCUCACUUACUGCUUCAUAACUUAUCUGCAACGUCCGCAGGUGUCUGUCCCCUAGGGAUUCUUCAUGAGCUGCAAAGUCUGCAUUCGGACUCCCAGCUGGAGAUGCUGGGGAGACCCUGGAGUCAGUGUUACUCAGUGUCCAUGGGGGCAAAGACUCGGGACCUGCCAGCUCUGAUGCGUCGGAGAAAAAGGAAAGGCUGAGGUUCUUGGUUUUCAAAAACUCUUUGAAGGAGAAUGGAUUGGCUUCUUCAAGGUCUUCAAGUUUGUCACCUGAAAAAAUGAACACCACAGAGACUGUGAAAGGGCCCAACAUCCUGUGUUACCAUUACAUUUCAACUGUGACUCAAAGAACACUA